rnacentral:ncRNA from 1 species
AAAUGAGCGAUGACAAGAACAUAUUAAGCCGGGUCUCCCUGUUGACAGAGAAUCAGUGGUUGGUGGAAACUGAUACAUAGACUUUGGUGAAUUUCAUUCUUAGAGCUUUUUUUAUAUUACAUCUUAGUGAUAGUAGUAUAAAAACGGAUUAAACCGUUAUUUUACCAAGUAAGUGGGAAACUAGAUUUGUUUCCAAUUAGGGUGGUACCGCGUGAACAGCCACGUCCCUAUC